CUAGUUUGCCACCUCCGUCAGCCCACCCCGCCGUCGCCCCAUGCCAUCGCCUGGCCAGGCCACCGCCGACUCUACUUGGGUUAAGGUGGACAGGAUCAUGCACGCAUCCGAUGCAUUAGACCUAUGAGUUUAUUAUGUAUUGGAUGGAUAAUUUUAUAUGUAAGAGAGAGACAUGACAUGUAUGAAACAACAUGUGUUUGAUGUUUUUAUAUUGUGAAGUGGUAUGUGUAGAUGAUUAUAAGUUGUUUUGCGGAUAGUUUAUUCGUUUGUGAUUGAUCUUGGGUUGUGUAUAUUGGUUGGCUUGUAUCGGAGUAAUUUGAAUAAUAUGGUAUGUGUAUUGGAAUGUGUAUAAUGAUUUGGAUG